UGAAACCCAUAAACCACUAAUAGCCAUUGGGAGUGACGGAGAUGCUAGAGCGGAGUUUUGGACUUCACACCGCGGGUGCAUUUUUUUGACGUGACAGAGAGGAAUGGAAUGAGGGCUUAACGCUUCAAGCUUAAAGCUUCAGACAGACGAUAACAUCCCUGACAAAAGAGAACAAGGUUGUUUUUAGCACCUGUAGUACCUGUAGCAUAGAACACAGAGAAGGGAACAUGCACCACAAUUUACGUUUUUUUCUUUGUGAGGCACCAUGGACCAAAGAAUGCCUCAAAUCUCAACUCUGUGUUUGUCAGUGGCAAUGGCACCUGGAUGUUAGAACAUUCUACUAUCUUGAUCAGGAGCCACAUUCACUCGCCUGAGGAACACGUGAUUGAUUGUGCAUACUGAUGGGUCUUGGUGUCUCAGUUCACAAUCAGAGUGUAGAAUGUAGCCACACAUCAGACCUAUGCGUGUCAGAUUUAUGUGUGACGACCAGCAUCACAACUGCAUGGCACAGAUAUGGCUCCUGUUGAUGACCAUAUCACAGCAUGGGCAGCAGCUUUUACAUCACCCCCUGUCCUCUUCUUGUCCGUACUGAUUCUGCUCCUAUGCAUCAUUUUACUCUCUCUGUGUUCCUCAUGUUAUAGUCACACAACGGCAGCAGGAGGUCAACCAUGUUCAUCCCUAAAACAAAAGGUCUCAACACAGCAGGUGGGUGGACCGCUGGAGCUAAAUGCAUCCCACCUCUCAAUUUCAGAUGACAAUUGUUUCAGUGUUAAGAAAUACAACUGGGAAGCACAAAGAAGACCCAACCCUCCCAUGAGAAGUCUAACUAUGGUUCAUAAUCAGCAGACCAAAACCUCCGCACAUAAUCGAGGCCUAUCUCAUGGCUAUUUUAGCGGGACAUGGGCUACCCCCGAAUAUGACAGGUUUGCCCAGAAUUUGGAACAUCUGCACAACCAAACCAGAAUAGCCUCUGUCUCACAC